UAGAAUCCAGGUCAUGUGACUCCC
rnacentral:miRNA from 1 species